AGAAAAUCAUGCAAGUCAGUUUUCUACAAGGAUUUCAAAACAAUGAUACCUGUUCAGAACCCAAUUACCAAUUCCAUGGGGACAGCACAGGAAGUGAACAUCAAACUGUCAAACCUACUAGAGUAGAAGCCGAGUGGCACUGAUGUGUGAUGAGUUAGGUUCAGACCCUGAGGCUUCAAGAGAAUGACCCAAGCUGGGAAUUCACAACAGCUUUACUGAGCACCUUAGGCCUCAAACAUAGUGUGACAGGAGCACAUAAAAAGCGGAUGCAAAGCAGACACAGCCAGUUGGAGACACUAGAAUUCAGAAGCAGAGCACCUAAAAAAAUUUUGCCAGGAGUUGCCACCCUAUAGACCCCAUUCCAAAUAAACUGGACUCCUCUUGCGGACAGAUGAAGAGUGCGGUGGGCCUAAGUACGUCAAGGAUGCGUCAGUAAUGUCAAUAACAACACUGGCUCCUGGUCUCACUGUUAGACCCAGGUUAGACAGCCCAGGGAGCCAUACAGUUCCUUUGUGAUGUCCAGAGGUCCUGUGUGUGGUGGCCAGGGCUUCCAUAGGAAGGGAGCAAAUCCCUCUCACCUUAUUUCUGUCCAAACUUUGUUCUCUUCUCUCCUCUCACCCUUUUCCUUUCUCCAUUAGGUCUUAGAACUAUCAUUAGACUCCUCCAGCUCCUAAACCCCAAAGUUAAGACCUGUAGAAACCCCUUAGUCGUGUCUGCUGAGGGGCCAGCCUCUGCCGUGAGCCAAUCUGCUUGUCUGACAGGGCUCACGGCCACUCUUGCCCUAUCUGCCCUCUCCAGAUCCAGCACGAAGCCCCUGCUGCUGACGCCAUCUUGUUCCAAUGCCGCUUCUGAAUCUUUGCCAACUGAGCCAGAGCUUGUGCAGCAUGCAGAGAGCACAGCCCCUCCCUGGAGAUGGCCCCUCCUCCUCAAAGGAAGCUCUUUGGGGCAAUAUCGAGAUGGAUUAUUGGCUAGACAAUCAUAUUCCUUGGAACUUGUCAACCAGAAACUGAAACGGAAGGCUGGGCCCUUGAUGCUCUAAAACAAAGCUGUCAAAGUGGCCCCAUUCCCCUCCCUCCACAGUGCUUGUGCCAUGGUCAGGAAAUGACCCAAGGAAGGCCCAAGGCCCGGCAGGGGCUCUGCCGGUCUCCACCCUAAAGAGGAAGAAACCACCAGAAGCUUUUAUCUGGUUCAGUUCCGAGUUUGAAAUAUUAUCCCCUGUCUUUGCCAAAAAGAGGCAAUUUGAUUUCAUGAGCAAAUAGCAAAUGGCAUUUUACAUUAAAAAAAACCCCCUAAAAAUCCUGUUUAUUGUUGAUUUCUUACAGUGUCCACAAUCAUCUUAAUUUGAAAUGCUAAAUGUUGUUAAGACAUUUUUACUUUGUUUCUGAGACAUGAAUUAAGUAAAAAUCUUUUGUGAUG
rnacentral:lncRNA from 1 species